GUUAUUUUGGCAGAUUAGUGCAGUAAAUUUAGAAUUUAAUUUAAUAUAGAUAUUCUAUAAAUAAUA
rnacentral:tRNA from 1 species